AGUUAUUUAAAAUCGUAGGGUAGGCCUUUUUGAGGCUGACAUAAUUUAUCUGUAGCUCUGCUUAGAAGCUAGGAUAUGGAUGAUAUGACUUCUAUAGGCCCCUGCACGUCCCAGGAAUAUAUGGGUAAUUGGUUUUAGCAGUGCUUGAACAGCACAUGGUUUCAGUAUAGAGUAGGCAGAAUUUGACCCCAGAAAAACAGACAUAAUUUUUAUUUUUUUUUUAAAAUAGGAGCCCUUGAAGAAAGCCUGAAAUAAUUCCAGAGUUACUGUAAACAAAGUGGUGGGAGCCUUAUUCAUCACAGAGAAAAGUCAGGCUCAUUAAAGAAGGCCCUCUACACAACAUCCACAGAUACAGCAGACACAGAUGAAAGAUGGGUGCAACCCAGAACAGAGAGUAAAGAAUGACCAGGCAACACUCUUUGAAAAUUGGAGACCAUUUGCAGCUGCUCUGUGUUGAGGAAAGUGAAUAAUAGGGUGCCCUCAAGGAAUUUCGAAGACCCCUGCAGAAGGAGGACAGAGAACAAUGUUGAUCCAACCUACAAAGGUUGGAUCACUUCUAGAGGAUCCUAGAAGAGCUCACUGCAAGACUACAGCUUCCACCAUGAUUGUUUGGGUAGCCAGUUUAUCUGCUUAUGUAAGAUCCUUACAGUCCUAGGUUAGUGACAUGAAAGCACAGCCCUGGGAGCCAUGCAGCAGCCAGUGCUCUGCCCACAUGUAACCCUUUGGGACCUCCACUUCAAUUCCCCCAAAGAGGAAAGCAAAGGAAAGAAGAACAAAAAUGUCUGAAGCACCGACAUCAGGCACUGGCCCAGCUGCCAUGGACCCCCAAGUUCAAGAUCAUAUAACCUCAGCCGGCCCAAAUGCACCAAGCAUACAACCACAGGGGGAACCUAACUGUUCCAGUGGAAGAGCGGGGACCAAUUUAAGUGGUGGACACCAUGUGGCAGAAUCCAGGAUCCAAUCAGAUUGAGCCCUGGGGUCACCCUGUGGCAGGAUCCAGUUGGAUCAUGCCCCCUGGCAUCACCUAUUGCAAGAUCCAAUCAGGAAAAGCACAGUACAGGGGCCUUUGGAAGCACAUGGCACACCUAUCUAAUCCAGUGGAGAGAGACUUGAAAAAUCCUGGAAAGGGAGACACAAACAGAAUCUUAAAAGGCAUGUUGAAUACCCUCGUCCAGGCCCGAACACAAUGCCGCUGACCAGAACACAGCAGAGUCACCAGCCACCUUCACUGACUUUUAAAUAACAAAAGAAGUUUUGUUCUUCAUCUUCGCUGACAAACUUGCAGAAGAAGGUGGACAUCUGAUUGACAGGCAGUGACGAAAACUAGCAUUCGAGAAGAUGACUUUGAAAAUGGUUCCACAUGUCUUCUGCCUGGCCAACUACUCCUGUUGACUGUAAAAAUGUACGCAUCGUCUCUAAAGGUAGGAGUGCGACGUCUGAAUUUCAAAGGCAGGUAUACAUCAGUGGUAAGCAGGUCUUUGCUAUUCACUUAUAGAAAAAUGAACUCAUUCUUUAAAAUUAAGCAAUGAACCACGUUUGAGAAAUCAUUACAAAUAUAUUUACAUGUAUAUAUAUUAUUCCAUUUAUCUGUUAGAAGUUAAUAUUAAAUGUCUCCUGGUGAAUAUCAGGAAUAUUCAUAUAAAAAAUAUAUGUAGGAAAGAUUACUAUUACCUAAAGAAAACUAUCUUAAUAGAAAUGUUUAUGAAUAUAUAUAUUUACCAUAUGUAUUCAUCAUAUAUAUGUGUGUGAACCUGAAAUAUAUUUUAUAUGUAAAUACAUAUUAAUAUUACACAUUUAUAGGCAUUCUACAUAUUUUGGUACAUAACUCAUAUUCUUUCAUUGUUCCUUGCCCUCUCUACCCUUUUUGAAAACAUAACUCAUUAUUUAUGUCAAUACUCCUCAUUUUCCUUUCCUAUUGUAAUUUUUUUUAUUGCGGUUAUUAUAUAAUAUGCUAAAUAAUACAUUGGUUUAUUAUAUCUAUUGUUUACUGAGUAUUGGCUAUUUUGCUAUACUCUAAGAUGAACUUCAUGAGAGAGAGGAUCAUCCUUUUAUUCAUGAAAACACCCAACAUUCUGUAAUAGAGCAUGGCAUGACUAUUAUAAGUGCUCAGUAACUGAAUGAAAGAAUGGAUACUUUACAAGCAUCAUGCGUGUAUCCAUGUUUAUAUGUAUUUUUGUAUGUGAGGAUACACACACACUCAGAUAUGUGUGUAUUUAGAGUUUUAAAUUAUAAUUUUCCUAUGUCUUCUUCCUAGUUUUUCUUCUUUUGGUGUUUAAGCCAUUCUUUUCUUCUGUAUCAUUUACGGAAUACAUGUGCUUAGAAGUAUGAUUCAAAGGGUCCAGCAUAGUUGCCUCAUAUUCUGACUUCAGAGUUCUAAGAUAUAUAGUAUAUCAAGCAAAAUACUUAAAAAAUCAUCUUUUUUAAUUUUCUUAGCUUUGGGGUUGCUCUGAGCUUGGUUGACCAGUAGUUCUUCCAAGUCAAAUCAAAGGGAAAGUUGCUCUUGAACUAAAAGAAACAAUGUAGAUUGUAUCCAAUAGCAUCUUCCAGUGAAAUAGUCACUCUAGUUCAGAAGGAUCAUCUGAGCCAAUAUAACUCAGAUGUGUUUGUAUUAAAUGCAAACAUUAUCAUUCUGUAUCAAGGUAGGAAAUUAUUACACACUAUCAUGUAAGUUGGCAAAUCUAAAGUCCAAAUGGCUCAGCCUCAAAUAUUUUUAUCAACAUUGGCAAGCAAGUUGGGCUGCUAAACUUUUGUGAGCCAUGCAGGUGAAUUUAACAGUAUUGUGAAUUGUGUUAUAAAAAAAUUAAAUUUCCAUUUAUUCAAGUCUCUGUCCAAAAUGUCUCUCAUUAGUGAUAAAUAAAUAGUAUCCUCUUCAUGUACUUUUAUAUUGUCUAUUAUAAUUUAUAUUCAUUUUGCCUAUUUGAUUUCUAUCUGUUCUUUUUGCUAGAAUAUAAGCUUUAUGAAGGCAAGAACUUUGCAUGUUUUGUUCAUUCCUGACUGUCCAGUGUUCAGAAAAAUAUUCCUAAUAAAGUAUAGGUGCUCAUAUCGUAGUUGUUAAAUCAAUGAAUGAAUAAAAAAUAAGUAGCAUGAGGAAGAAGAUGUUCCUUCUAAAAAGCAUUUGGUUGGUCCCCAAGAUGCUUAUGCACACUUCAAGGAAGAAUUGAAGAGGCCUGGCACUGAGCUUUUCAAAUAAUAAAUUCGUUUUCUGAGAAGCACUUUUAAUCUUUCCUAGAAACCACUCUAAAAAGAGAAAGACUUUAGGAGUCACAUUUGUCACAAGUCAAGUGUUACAGUAUUCGACACCUAUGAUUUCAUAACUACAUGCUUAUUCCUUAGAAAUCGCCUGAUUUUUGAGGUAUUUUGUUUUGGAAACACAAGGUUGAGUUUUAAUACAAAAAAAAAGAAAGAAAAAAAUGUAAAAUAAAUGUGUUCCAGAGAAAAUAAAUGAAUGGAGAAGAUUGCAAAGAUGCAGACCUCUGGCCAUGGGACGGGAAAAGAUCAGGAUUUCCAUUUUAGACAUGUUAAGGUUGAGAUGUCCUUUUGGGGGUUCAAAAAGAUAUGUUGAUAAUGUAGUUGCAUAUUUAAGCCUGGAGUUAGUAAGUUACCACCAUAUGGUUAUCUAAAGCCAUGUAAAAAAAGUGAAUGUAGAUAGAAAGAAGAGGUCUGAUCAUUGACCUCUGAGACGCUCCUACAUUAAGCAAUUGGGGUAAUUGCAUUUAUCAAGUAGGAAUAGUUACAGGAUUUACCAAUAGGAAUACAAAGAAGCAGUAGUAAGGGAGGUAGCAGUAGAAGGAAAAAUAGGCAACUGUGGUGUUCUGAUCAUCAAAUAUAGAAGAAUAUUUAAAAUGUUGAGAUUGAAAUGCUGGAAUCAAACUAUAUUGUUUUUAAUGAGUUUUGAAAUUAUUCUAUAAGUCAGUUUUAUAUCUAUUUAUUUUUCAUCAUAAAAAUGGCAGGCAGUCUCGGAUUCAAGUCAUUUUCCUGCCUCAGCCUCCCUAGUAAAAUGUUUUGUUUAGGUUUUGUUGUUGUAGUUGUUGCGGUUUUUGUUUUGUUUUUAAAUUUAUAGCAUUUCCAUUGUAUUCUUUCUGUACGUCUGUGCUAAAUUUUCCCAUUUGCUCAUUCAUGUUGUCCAUCUUUUCCACCAGAUGUCAAAAUAUUUAAUCAAUUAUUUUAAAGCCUCUGUCAGUUAAUUCCAAUAUAUUAGUCAUCUAUUGUUACGUUGCUCACUUUUUGUAAAUGAGCCGUUUUUUUCUUAGAUUUUUUUGUGUAUAUAUCUUAUAAUUUUUAUUGAAUAUCAGAUAUAAUGUGUAGAAGAAUAGCAGGAAUGCAGGAAGAUAAUAUUUAUACCUAGAAAUGAUUGUACCUCCUCUUUUUCUUAGCAGUUAGAAUGCAGGGUUUAGCCAAUCUAGUCAAGAGUUUGUGUGGCUUGGGGUUCUUGUUGCUGUAAUUAUCUUCAAUGUACUAUGGCUUCAAGUAGGAUAUAGUAGGAUACAGAGUCAGGACAUAGUCCCCUAGGUUUUUUUCAGAGUCCAUUUUUCCCCCAUUUGUUUUUAGUCAUUACUAAAUACCUGCACCACAGAGUGGAGUCUCUCUUCAGGUUCUUGUCACUUUCCCAGUGAUAGAAUACCACACCAGGGAAUUGAUGCUUGGCUCAUGGUAGGAUUGGGAAGGUUCUUUGUUGGUACAACCUCGAUCUUAGGCAGGACCUAUGUAUCUGGGCAUCAGGAGUGAUACAUUUUUACAGUUUCCAUACUUCCUCUUCAUGGCAGCCAAACUCUCUCUUGCAUUUGUGACUGCCAUGUUGUGUAUAUGGGGUGGAAGGGAUAAUUCUCCAUCAGACUCUUUGCUUCUGUACGUCUUACCAGCAGACACACGGACUGCCUUUUACUCCCUUGGACUUUCUUUUCAAGAGUAUUUAUAUAGUGAAUAUCUUUAUAAGAUAAAGAUAGUGCCGUGCCUUCUUCUGAUGCCUCUCCUUUGCAAAUUUGUUUGCUGUCCAGCAUAAUACAGAGAUAUUUUUCUUCUGGGGCAAAAAUCAGGUAGAUUUGUUUGUUGUCAAUUAUAAAAGAUUUGAGGAUUCUACAUUAGGGCUCUUCCUCUGUAAUGCAACUGACUGCAUGUGAAUGCAUCAUCUAACCCUCAUCAUGUCACCAAGGUGAAAGAAAACAACGACACUCUGACUACCACUACUGCAGUGAGUAUUAAAUUGCCUUUGUCUCUGACCCAGCAGCCUCAUGGCAUUCUGCCAGCAUUGAGAGAAUUGUGUAAAGCUAAUGGGUUGUUAGCUUGUUAAAGUAGGGUAAAAUCUCAGACACUUCAUACUUCUUGAAAAUCUUAGGUGGAAGUUCCCUGCCCUUCCACUAGUGGUAUCAGGCCUCCACUUGAAACCUGUGUAGGGUCCUGGGUCUAAGGCUGUUUUGUAUUUCUCCGCCCCAGGAACACAGGAUUCAACCCUUUCCUCAUAGCAAUGAACUGUUGCCUGUGCCAUAAGAGUUAACUCUACUCCUCCAGAGUCUAAGUGAAUUUUCUUCUUCUCCUUUCUCAUAGACUUAAACCAUUUGCUUUAUUUUUUCUUUUUAAAGUGUUCUACAAAACUUUAAAAGUGGUCAGAGCCUUAACCCUCAUAUAUGCUAACAGCUUCUUUAUUAGUACUCCUGAGAGGGAAUUAUUCUGGUAUCCUGCUCAGUUUUUAGUCUUUCUCCUAAGCAAAUGGUCGAGACCCACGGAUAAAAUACUACAACUUUCCUUGUGUCUAGGGCCCUUAGCAAUCCCAAAUAAACACAUGAACCUAUCCUCCUCGGCAUUUAAGGAUUAAUUAAAUUUUUUGCUCAUUCAUUUUGUACCAACUUCUACGGUGGUCAUCUUUUUUACAUUUUCGCUAAGCAAUUUGUGACACAGUUUGCAUGUCCUGACUCUCUUUGGAUGUGUUGAUUCACCUUUGAAUUUGAUUUACUUGUUUGCCUUUAGGAAUUAGCUUUUUAAUGAGUUUAAGACAAGUUAUAGUCUUGUAGCUAAUGCCUAUGGUCUGAAGGUUUGUCUUGCCAAAAUUCAUAUGUUGAAACCUAAUCUCGAAUAUGAUAGUAUUGUAAGAAUGGGCUUUUGGCAGGUGAUUGGGUCUUGAGGGCUCUGCCGUCUUUAAUGGGAUUAAUUCUCUUAUAAAAAAAAGACCUCAGAGAGCUAACUAGCCCUUUACACCUUAUCUUUUCCACUGUAUGAGGACACAGCAAUAAACUAUUCUGUAACCUGAAACUGGGUCUUCACCAGAAACUUACCUUGCUGACACCUUGAUCUUGGACUUCCAGCCUUCCAUGCUGUGAAAAAUACAUUUCUGCUAUUUAUAAGCCACCCAGUUUUUUGUAUUUUGUUAUAGAAGCCUGAACAGACAAAGACAAUAAUCUAGCCUUUUCUCCUUGUUAGGUAUAGAGUCACAUUCUUUGCAGGUUUCUAUUCUUCUAGAGGAUGAGUCUAAAGAAGUGACAUAUUGUCAAAUUCAAUAUUCAAAUGGGAUAUUGUCUAGAGAAAAAAAAAUGUUUAAUUUGUUCACUUGACAAAGAUUUCCCGUCUUACUAAAGACCAAGCUGUUACACUAAGCCACAUUGUGAACACUGAAAGAUGUACAAAUCAUGGCGGAAGAGUAAUAUGCAUAUCAUUAUCCAGGUUUUGGGUUGGAGGCAUGCCAGCUUGGUUAGCCCAUUGGCAAGAAUGUUAUCCCAUUUGAAGUCCAGCUACCUGGGCUCCAAGCUUUAUCCUUAAGAACUCCCACCAGGCGCGAUGGCUCAUGCCUAUAAUCCCAGCACUUUGGGAGGGCAAGGCAGGUGAACCACCUGAGGUCAGGAGUUCAAGACCAGCCUAACCAACAUGGUGAAACCCCGUCUCUACU